rnacentral:rRNA from 1 species
GGUUGAUGCUAAGCGUGUCAUGCGAGUCGAGCGGACAGAUGGGAGCUUGCUCCCUGAUGUUAGCGGCGGACGGGUGAGUAACACGUGGGUAACCUGCCUGUAAGACUGGGAUAACUCCGGGAAACCGGGGCUAAUACCGGAUGCUUGUUUGAACCGCAUGGUUCAAACAUAAAAGGUGGCUUCGGCUACCACUUACAGAUGGACCCGCGGCGCAUUAGCUAGUUGGUGAGGUAAUGGCUCACCAAGGCAACGAUGCGUAGCCGACCUGAGAGGGUGAUCGGCCACACUGGGACUGAGACACGGCCCAGACUCCUACGGGAGGCAGCAGUAGGGAAUCUUCCGCAAUGGACGAAAGUCUGACGGAGCAACGCCGCGUGAGUGAUGAAGGUUUUCGGAUCGUAAAGCUCUGUUGUUAGGGAAGAACAAGUGCCGUUCAAAUAGGGCGGCACCUUGACGGUACCUAACCAGAAAGCCACGGCUAACUACGUGCCAGCAGCCGCGGUAAUACGUAGGUGGCAAGCGUUGUCCGGAAUUAUUGGGCGUAAAGGGCUCGCAGGCGGUUUCUUAAGUCUGAUGUGAAAGCCCCCGGCUCAACCGGGG